GGACAGGUGACCGAGUGGUUGAAGGUGCACGCCUGGAAAGCGUGUGUACGGUAUCCCCGUACCGAGGGUUCGAAUCCCUCUCUGUCCGCCA
rnacentral:tRNA from 1 species